UCACACAUUAAAAAUAAUGUAAAAUUAUUUCAAUUACCAUCAAAACCAUUGCAAAUUCAAACCAUUACACCAAUAAUCCACAAAAGAAACCAUUACAAAUCUAUAUUACAUCAUUACAUAGAAACUUUACAAAGGUAUACACUUGAGUCGCAACCCGUGUCCAAUCUUCAUGACCAAGCCCCUCUUGUUAACCUUCAGGAUAUGCUAAAGGCCUUUAAAAAUCUUCUCCAUAUCCUCUUCAAAACAUUCUGCAAGCUUCAAACAACAUCAUGCCCUGGCAAAUCCAUGUAUCAGAUCCGCCCUAUCCAAACAAAGAUAACCUGCAUCCAUAAAACAUUUCCAAACCUGCAUAGAAACCAAAAAACUAUAAUAACCAGACAUGAAUCUAACAAAAAAUAA